UAACGAAUCUUCCGCAAUGCACGAAAGUGUGACGGAGCAAUGCCGCGUGCGGGACGAAGCCCCUCGGGGUGUAAACCGCUAAAUCAAGCUAGAAAGUUCUGAUCGGCUCGAGAUAAGGUGCGACUAACUCUGUGCCAGCAGUCGCGGUAAUACAGAGGCACCAAGCGUUAGGCGGAAUCACUGGGCUUAAAGCGUGUGCAGGCGGCCCCGUAAGUGUCUUGUGAAAGCCCAUGGCUCAACCAUGGAAUUGCUUGGCAUACUGCGGGACUUGAGUCAUCCAGGGGCAAGCGGAACAGACGGUGGAGCGGUGAAAUGCGUAGAUAUCGUCUGGAACGCCUGAGGCGAAAGCGGCUUGCUGGGGAUGAACUGACGCUCAGACACGAAAGCCAGGGUAGCGAACGGGAUUAGAUACCCCCGUAGUCC
rnacentral:rRNA from 1 species